UGAGAGAGAUUGUUUUUCCAGUUGCCAAGAAACAGACAGCUUUCUUUGAGAAUGCAGAGUUGUGCUCACACCCUCAGCAUCCUCCUGCUCUCCUGCAGGGUUUGGGAAAUUGGUGUUCUGGUGACCAAGCUUCCCCUGACAGGAGUGGCAUGAGCUCAGCUCCACUAAUGGAUACAGAGCACCAGUGGGCAACAGCUGAUGUUCAAACAUGUUGAACAUUUAAAGAGAACACUGCAGUUCUGCCAAUGACUUUAUACCUUCAGGAAGGGAAUUAGAUUUUCAUGAUGAAAAGAAGGGAAGAUACAUAUGUAAGUGAAGAUUGCUGUCAGAAAGUUUUAAUAGACUAAUAAUAAAUCCAUUCCAAGCUGGCUGCCAGCGCUGGGAAAACCUCCAAAGGUCUGGAUUGAAGAGAAGAGAUGUAAUGCCCAUACAUGGGGGUAAAAAAGCAUGAGGGACUGAUUGGGAAUCAAGCAUUCAGCCUACAGCCAUUAAAGGGAAACAGUAAGUUGAAGCAGAAGCCUUUUGAUCUUUUGCUUUUCAGACUUCUCAGAAGUGCUUGUUCUUACUCUGCUAUCUUCAAGCUGACAUAUUCUCCCAGGCCAGGGAGCAGUAAUUCACACAUCCCUGUGCCUCUUUUAAUGCCUGCCCACACUUGAGUAGCAAAACAUGUAUCCUUGCCUAGCAAGGAACUGUUUUUAAACGUAAGGAUCUCCAAGACCAAUAUUGUUCUAUCAGCUACAUAGAACAAAGCUGCCCUUUGUUACAGCAAAAACUUCUUAUCACUCCUGCAAAUAUCUCUCUUGUCUCAGCUGUUUUCUUUUUCUGGCUGGCACUUGGCUAUUGCUGACCCCUGUGCAUGGUGUAUACAGUUGUUCUCAACCUUCGGCUACAGCACAGCCCUUCAGGGCCUUCUGAGAAAAUGUUUGCUCUUAUUGCUGUCACCUCCAUGGCAUUUCUCUCUUUACUGUGCUUAAGUAAAAUUACAUUUUCUUCCAGUUUUGACAAUUCCUUAAACUGUGAGAAUGAAAAGGGCUAUGAAAAUUAUUCUUUUGUUCACUUGUUUACAGGUGGGUUUGUCUUUUUCUUAAAGCCAUCAAGUUUCAGCUACUAUUUUUCACGCAGUCACCCCUCCUCUAAGGUGUGUUACAUGUGGCUGUAACAUGUUUGUAGCCAGAAUUUUCUCUGGAAUCAGCACACACAGAGCAAGAUGACUUUUUGGUGGUUCUGCAGUGGGAUACAGCUGCAGAGUGCAUACAGCCAGGAUGAACUGAUGCAGAUGCUUUCUUAGGAGGAGGAGGAGGAAGAGAACACUGAGAAGUGUCUGGUUGUGAAGAGAUUUCUGAAGUGGGAAUGCUUUAUCAGUCUUUACUGCUGAGUGCCCUGGAUCCUUUUUUGAAGCAAAUCAGCUUUCCCGUGGUGGAAGUGGAUGAGCAGAGUGGUUGAAUUCUGUCACUGCAGGCGGCACAGAUCCUCAGUGCUGGCUGACUCUGCUGCCUUUGGAGUCCGAUAGAAAACAGGAGCUGAUGCAAAGUGUGUUUUUUGAACCAUCACCCUUUGUCAGAGGGCAUCGAUUCCCUAAACACCAUCAGUGUGAUGGAAACAAACUGAACUCCUUUGCUCGGCUAUUAUUAACUGCUAAUGAGCUCUGUGAAACCCAGCAACAGGGUGUUACCAGUUUAUGACUCUGCCAAGGCAGCAAGGUGGAGUUGAAUGUGGGAAUGAAGCCGUGUUUAAUCAGGUUUUGUAACUACUUUGAUACAAUUUUAGCUGCAGCGUGUUCAGUCAAGCAGCUCCUGCUGUAAUGCACACACUGUUUCGACUUCAGUUGCAGCUUUCAGAAUUUACCAAACACCUUUUCAAUAAUAAUUUUUUACUGUUGCACACCGAUCAUCUGCAAGUAUGCCUGUAGUAACUGUACAUGGUGUUUUUAUUUGUUUUUACCUAGGAAGCCAGUUUUAGAUGUCAAAUCUCCCCUGAAGUCUACUAAAUUUCUGGGUAGGCUUUAAAGGUGAGAAAAUUCAAUCCUCAGCUUGAGCUGCCAAUAAAGGCAGGUGAGCACAGCAGCAGCAGAGCUUUUCCCUCUCUAGUGUCACAAGCAUGGUUUAGUUUUACAGGGUUUUACUGACUUUCCCCUUAGAUCUAGAGGAGAAAUAUCUUCCACUGAGGAGGAAUAUCUUCCACUGUGAUGUGUAGUGGGGACAGGGCAGUUUGAGAGCAGAAGGACCCAAGGGGAGCUCACAGGUGAGCAGGUUCUGAGCUGCACAGCAGCCUGGCAGGUUCUCAGCAGGGACAGCCUGGUAUCAGGGCACACCUCAGCCACUGGGAGCACACACACAGCUACAGAGAGUUUGUAGCAAUGGAAGGUAGUUAUUUAUAGGCAAUGGGAAAGUUUAUGCCUUGUGUUUGCAGUUUCAGUUGAGUAAAUAUACAGUGAAAUUGUACUUUAUCCUCUUUGUUCAGAUGUUAAACCCCCAGAUUCCUUUCCCAAGAAUCAUACCUGUUUCUCUUGAUUUUUUGAUUUAACAUCUAUAACCAAGGAACCCAUCAAUUAAUCUGAGGAUUUAUUGAGCUGCUUUUUUGGCUUUGUUACUUUAAAAACAAACAAACUAAAAACUCAAAAACUCCCAGAUUCUAAAGUGUUUCUGAGGAAAAAAAGUUGGGAUUUUGGUUGGUGGAGUUUUUUGGUUUUUUUUUUUUUUUUUUUUCUGAGAAGAACAUCUUAUAAUUGGGAAAAAACCAAGAAAUUAAUGUUUGUAGCAAGUGAAUUAUAGCCUGCAAAGUAGCUUGAAUGUUUUCUGCUGAAAGCUGCUUUGGAAGCUUAACAUGGGAUUAAUUUUUGAAGUCUGCCUGGACUAUCAAGAAGUUAAUUGAUGGAGUGUGAGCAAUACCCACUUAAAAGGCACAGACAGGGAAAUCAGUGCAUUCUCUGUGAGAGGCUCUUAAUGAUUUCCUUUCAGAGAAUGUGCACACUAUCUUAAUUAUACAGGAGCCUACGUAAAGGUACCAUUGGAUUGCAUCCAAUGAAAGCUAAAACAAACAAUAUGACAACAAAAAGGGCACUUGCGUCAUUUCACUUUAGCAUUUAUAAGACAAACAAUAACUAGCAAAUAAAACCCUCCUAGCCUAUGGUGUGCUUACCAGUGCCAGGAUACUUAUUCCUUCACAUGUAAUCUUUAAAACAAAGAGCUACAUAUCAGAAAAUGCUGGGACAAUAUUUUUAUUUUUUUUUUGUCUGCACAAAAACAAGACCAUCUUACAGCAAGGAGACAUGUUUCCUGUGGUGCUCUGCUGGCUUCAUGAGAUUAAUGACCUCAGCAUUUCACAGAUAAGUCUUUCUGUGUGAAUGUGAUCUUCUCCUGUGUGCACAAGGGCACGCAGCCACUAAAAAAAAACAUGCAUGAGAAAGAAUGGAUGAUAAAGCUAGCAGUGAAACUGAGGUGCUGGAGCAUUCUCAUUAGAAAUGCCAUUGUUUUGUGUAAAGUGUAGAUUUCAAUAUAUUCAGUAAUGGUGAUUAAAAUCAUGAGUUUCCCUACAUGGUAAGCCUUGCCACUCUGAUCAAAUCCACCUUGUGAAAUUCUGUAUCCAUGAGAUCCCAAGAUAUAGUUUUGGCAAUCUCAGCUUUAACAUCUGGGUUCACCUGUGGCAGUGCACUGCUCACAUGCUUAUUCUAACAAUCAAGGGGAAAAAUGUCCAGAUCUCUGCAUAUUAGUUCCUAAAAGGGUACUGAUAUGGCUUAAAAUGCCAGGCCACUCUGGCAUUUUUCUGAACCUUUGAUCACUUUAGGAAUAUUUUGGUGAUGCCAUUCAAAUGUUUCUCAAAAAACUGUUGCCACAAAGAAAAAUUUAUUGCUGUGUUACUUAGCACCAUGGCAUCACCAAAUCACCUGGAUGGUCUUGGGGAACUUCCUUCAGAGGAUGGAAGGUAGGGGAAGGGAUACUCUCUCAUCCCCCAUCAGCCUUUCUUACUUUUAUCUGACCACUUUGGGAGCAGUUCCUGUCCAUGGAAAACUUCAGCCAUUCCUUGAAGCUGCAGAGUGCCAUGUCAGGCUUCAGAGGCAUCUCCUCCCGCUUCUGGGAGGAAGACCCUGUGCAGUGUGUCCCGUGCUUCCUUCAGGGUACACCCAGACACACACUUGCUGUGUCCCAGGGUGGUUUGAGGAGUGCAGAGCACAUUUUCUGUAGGAAAACAGAAAGAAACACAUCCCUCUUCCAGCUUUGCAUUAGUCAAAAGUUCUGAAAGGUCUGCAUUGCCAGGACAGGAUCCAUAGGCAUCAGCAUGACAGCAGUGACACUCAAUACAUGUUAGACAUUGAUGUACAACACCUCUCAUCUCUACAGAGGAUAGUACAGAGGAAGGGAGGACCACAAAUGGCAUGUUUUGAGGUAAAAAACAGCUGCUUCCAUUCAUGGAGGGGUCAAAAUAAUCUUCAACAUUAAUAAUGACUUUUUAAUUCAUGUUUUCCAGUGCUAGUGAAGCCUAACUGAUAUAUGAACAGUGUUUUAAAACCAAAUUCUUGUUCCUGUCAGGAAGCCCCAAUUCAAGAUGCACUGAUCCGUUCCUUCCCAUAGUGAGAUUAGGAAUUUGUUGAAAUGAGGGGUGUGCACAAAACACACCACCACAGUCCAGUGUGUCCUGCUAUAGCAGCACAGGUAGGAGCCUUGAGAAAAGUAUGUCAUGUUCUUAUCCUGCGGCUAGUGCGUUCUGUAGCAUCUCCUCUAUUCAAACCAACUCCUAACUUAUUUACACAAAAGGUGGAGUCCUCAUCUUUAGCUGGACAGGUUUCUUUCUCGCUCUUCCACAUCUACCAGCCUGAAUUUGCUACCUGUGAUAAUUGAACCAUUCCCAUAGUAAAUGACUGUGUACUUGGAGAGAGGCCCAGGUACCAAAGUGUGGGAGUGCUGCCUGACUGCAGGGAAGUGAGGAACUGCAGCAAGAGCUCUGUGGGUUUAACCAGCUUCCUGGGGAACAUGCAGUCACUGACUCUUCCCAGCACACAGCACGGAAGGAGGGUUUCCUUCUGUCUGACAGCUAAUUUUCAAGAGAUGCAUUUAUAUUCUUAUACACUGCACUUGGAAUUCCAGUUAAUAUUUUAAUCUAUCAAAUGGAUAUGGACAGUUGAUGGCAGAAUUCAGGGACUGGAACUAUGUGAGUUUGAAUUAAUACUCUAAAGGGAGCUGAACAGAUAAAGCCCUCUGAUAAUGUAACACCAGAAGGCGUGAACUUCCUUGUAACAGAACUAGACAGGACAAAUUUUGCUCCCAUUUAUUUUUGGUGUCAGGUUUACCACUCCAGCCCCUGCUAUGCCCUUUAGGGAGCUAAGUUUAAAGUUAAUGGGGCUUCUUGCACAAAGGGCUGGCCAGCCAUAACUGCAGAGAGCAAUGAAGUGCCUGAUUAGUGCAAAAUGUGACGCUUUCACCACUUGGCCUCCUGCCCAGUGGCAGCUACUUCUGCUGAGCACAUCAAAUGAAUUCAUAUAAGCCACCAAAGAACUGCAGGCCAGGAAUGGCUGUUGGUUGUUACUGGAUCAGACCAGCUUCUGACCAGUCAGCUAAAGAAAUAUCCCAUGCUUCAAACACUGGACUAUCCAUUUAAAAACAUUUAAAAAUACAUACAGUGAAAUAGAGUUGUUAGACUGGAAAAUCCUCUUUAGCAUGAUACCAUCUGACCAUUAAAUGUCUGAGGAGUUGAAAUAGCUUAGUAUCUCAUCAAGGAGUUAUUGAAUUGUGUAAAUAAAUCUUUCUUUAGAAUGUAUUGAUUGGUGUGGAAAAGCUUGUGAAGUCAAACAUGCUGCUUUGUUUUUAGGCAGCUUCAUGCAGGAAAUUUGGCCUUUACCCAAUUCUGUGACUAACCCCAAAUUCAGAGUAGUUAUGUUAAUGCAUCCUGCAAGAGAAAACAACUAUUUUCUUCCUUUUAUUCCAGCUUCAUUUUAAUGGGAUUAUAGACUGGCCUUUUAAGUGCAGAAACAAUUUUCUUCUGUUGCGUGCUACAAUAGUUUUUAAUUGAGAGUCUGCUGCUGGCCAAAGGUUAUCUCAAAGGAGCUGUAGCACCUGGAUCCCCUCCCUCCCUCUCUCCUUCCCAUGCUACUGCUGCCAUGGGUCAAAGGGGUACCAAUGCCCUUCUGAGCUCAGUCAUUUAAACUGAUGUCUCACCACUGAGUGAAUGAGAUUUAUAGGAAAUAAUGUGAAUUUUUAAGACUGUCUAGCCUACCUUAGCUGUGGUUUUGCUUGGGAACUCUUACUAGUUUCUGUUUAGAAUUUUCUCCUGAUGCUUUUUGUUCUACUGCUUGUCGCAGCUAUAAGAUAACUUGGUCAACACCCAAAAGUCAAUACUAUUAUCACUCUGGAACUCCUUGUACUGCCCAGGGAAAGGAAAUGCAUUAAUUUUAGAGCUGAGUCAAGCCCAGAAAUGAAUUAGCACACUGGGUAAAUAUCUGACAGCACAUUUUUAAAAGUAACUAGUCACGCACCCUGAGCAGAUGCCAAGGAAGGGACAUGUCCUCUGGGCUGGCUUAUGGACAGCCUUUGUGCCAGCUUUCUGCAUUUGUUUGUUAAUCUCAUUUGCUAUGAAAACAGGUAUUAAGUGGAUUCUUUUCUUCUCCUCCUUCUGUCAUAAUUCCUGAUCUCGCUGGCCACUUUCAGCCCAGAUCUAGAGAGGGAAGAGGACCCAAUGAUGCUAAGUAUUCAUUAUAUUUCAUGAUAUAGAUGGUUGGAGAACUGAGAUCUGGUGCAAAGGUUGCACCAUGAAGUUGCUCAUUAUCUGACAGUAGGCAAAAUAUAGAAGAGACAGAUUACAAAUGGUCCAGUGAUGAAAGACUUAAUGGAAGCAAAAAUAUCCAAUCCAAAUCCAUAGAAAAUAUGACUGUAUUCAUUCUGGAGCUGAUGAAAUUUUAUUUCACUGAUUCAUUGCAAAAACCCAAAUUGAUUCAGUGAAUUGAUUAAACGGAUUUGGAAGGAAAUGUAGAGUAAGUUGGUCAGAUCUGGAUAUGCUGUUCCCUUGUUUUGUAUUCCUGCAGGUUGCUGUGAAUGUGGACAGUGUAAUGCCUACUCCCUAGCUCAAUGUAUGUUAGAAAGCUUAAUUAUCCUAAACACACACAGCUUUAUCAGGGAUCCCAGUGAGAGCAGAAACAGGACAAAAUAUCAGCUGAGUGCUUUUGAAAGAUAAGAUAAAGAAAGAUCUUUUAAGUGCAGAGAAAUAUCUCUCCUUUAUUUUUUAUGUGUAGUUCUUUUAUCAGCCUUUUGGAACACAUAAGAUUUAAAACAUAUGAGCAGUAACAGUACUUGAAAUUACCAUCUUAAUGUACUUCAACUGUAAAAGCAGAGAACAGAAUCCUACAGUAGAGGAGACAGAUGCAUAAAUGGACAUGGCCCCAGUGCACAGUCUUGAAUGGGCAGUGCUCAGAAAGGGAACGAACACAGUCGCUAAAUUUAAAGAAAGCCAGCAUUGAAUGAGAAAAUGCACGGAAUUUGCUUUAAAAUUACCAAAAGCCUUACUUUCCUGAACCUGUGGAUUUAUUUCCUUUGCCUGAUCUCAUGGUAAAGAUAUGGACUUCAAAAUUACAGCUACCCACUGACAUAAUUCAGUGACAUGAAGUGCAUUUACUUCUUGAGAGAUUUAAAGCUGCUUUUCACUCUUCCCCAUGCUGCUUGUUUUCACACAUUUAUGUGUACUUGGCCUCAGCUCUGUCCAUCUGAGUUGGUGGUGCAGCUGUAAUCCACUUCAGUACAGAUAUCCGGCUCUUCCUUUAGAAACUUCCUCUUGCUAUGCUAUAGCUCUUGUAAACGCCCUGGCGGAAGUGGCUUUUUCCUCCUUCCUACUCCUGCAAGAGGUCCCAGAAGUACAAGUGGCUUAAUGAACCAGACAACAUUUGGUUUGAAAAGAGCCUGAAGAGAUGUAGUUUGCAUAAACUUUAAUGCUUUUUUUUUUCUUACCUUAUAGAAACAUCAUGCAUAUCACUCAUGUUUAAACAAAAUGACUGGCAAAGCUGUGGAAGCUGUAGACACUGUCCUAACACUUUAAUUUAUUACAGUAAAACUACCAGGUUACUUUCCAUCCUUUCUACUCUACAUAUUUGAGAGAGAACAUCUGUCUGGCAACAGUAAUGGUUCCAAGUCAAGUAUAUGAUUUCUUUGCUUCACAGAGAAAGACAGCUGAAUAAUACUCUAGAUGUAAUUAUCUUUCACUUGCAGCAGUUCCCUUUAAAUAUGUAAUUUUAAAAAUGAAAAUUUAGGAAAAAAUAUGAUGUGCAUAUUAUUAUUGUUUCACAGCACAGUUUUGAUUAUUUAUCAUCUUAUGUUACAUAUAUUUUAUAGAAUGAAAGGAGACAGUCUGUUCUGCCUUAGCAGUACUAUAUUAGCAAUAUAGUACUCCAGUUACUCAGUUUGGUUCUGGCAAGACAGGAUGGUAGGAAAGCAAGUGAGGUUCCCAUUUUUAAGUAUGUUUAGAAAAUCCCCAAAGGUCUGAAAUGGCAGAUAUUAUGGGUGUGCUUGGUGUCAGCACUGUGACAGAGACAAGGCCUUCAAAAGGGCUAACAUAAUAGACAAUAGCUUAAAAGGCCAAAAAAAAAAAAAAAAGAAAAAAGAAAAAAAAGAGGCAUUUCAAUUGGUAGAGAGAAGACUUCAGAUGCUCUGCAGAAGACGGAGUUGCUGGUUGGGCUCCUACCUAGAAGGACCAGGGAGGUGAGAUAUACAUGGAGAAUCUGGGAAGUUGCCAAAUCUGCUUGAAGAAAGGCAGCAGCACCUUCCCAGCUGCCAACACCCUGGAGAAGCUCUGCAAGGACUGAAUUCCAGCCUUUUGCUGUCCUUUGCAGAUGCAGGGUGCAAAAGCCAGGAGACAAAACUGCCCACCCCUGUAGUGGGCCAUCUGAACAGAAGAUUGCAAAAGGCACUGGAGGGCCCUUUCUCUUGAGAGGGAAUAGGUACUACCCAUGUCUGACCAGGUUGUCUUUCUCAUUUACAGCAUAGCAGAGUCCUCAGUAGACUUUUAAAUUUUUUUAUUUAAAUAAUCUUGGCUUAGAAAGAAAUUGCUUAAUUUAACAAAGCAUGUUUACUAAAAUGGAGCUGUGGAAACUUUUAAAGAUGUGCAUGACAGUGGGUUGUGUGUUUCUUCAUGCAUUCUCCAGCUCUCAAACACAGACCCUGCCAAAGCAAAUAACUGCACAGUAUUUAUCAUAGUUUUGUUACUAUGUAGGAAUAUUUUUUUUGUAACAAUGCUUGCAAAGGUGAACUAUUUGUUAGCUCCUCCUCUCUUCUGUCUGCCAAUAAUAUGGAAAUCCGAUUGUGGUCAUGAAACAUUGCUGACUCGAAGCUGCAAGUCCCAGGACCAAACCACAUUAGGCAGCAGCAUGGAGUUUCUCCCCCUGUCAAGAACCGGUUCUACUGCCACGUGAAAGACCAACAGAAAGUGUUUGUCAUAUUGCACUACAUCUCUGAAUGCACACCUAUGAAAUAACUAACUCUCAUUACUGCUGUCAAAGGAAGACACAAGGCACAGAGAGAGUUUGG